CCUUGACUCUGGGAUAAGCCUGGGAAACUGGGUCUAAUACCGGAUAUGACCGACUAUCGCAUGGUGGUUGGUGGAAAGCUUUUGUGGUUUUGGAUGGACUCGCGGCCUAUCAGCUUGUUGGUGGGGUAAUGGCCUACCAAGGCGACGACGGGUAGCCGGCCUGAGAGGGUGACCGGCCACACUGGGACUGAGACACGGCCCAGACUCCUACGGGAGGCAGCAGUGGGGAAUAUUGCACAAUGGGCGCAAGCCUGAUGCAGCGACGCCGCGUGAGGGAUGACGGCCUUCGGGUUGUAAACCUCUUUCAGUAGGGAAGAAGCCGCAAGGUGACGGUACCUGCAGAAGAAGCGCCGGCUAACUACGUGCCAGCAGCCGCGGUAAUACGUAGGGCGCAAGCGUUAUCCGGAAUUAUUGGGCGUAAAGAGCUCGUAGGCGGUUUGUCGCGUCUGCCGUGAAAGUCCGGGGCUCAACUCCGGAUCUGCGGUGGGUACGGGCAGACUAGAGUGAUGUAGGGGAGACUGGAAUUCCUGGUGUAGCGGUGAAAUGCGCAGAUAUCAGGAGGAACACCGAUGGCGAAGGCAGGUCUCUGGGCAUUAACUGACGCUGAGGAGCGAAAGCAUGGGGAGCGAACAGGAUUAGAUACCCUGGUAGUCCAUGCCGUAAACGUUGGGCACUAGGUGUGGGGGACAUUCCACGUUUUCCGCGCCGUAGCUAACGCAUUAAGUGCCCCGCCUGGGGAGUACGGCCGCAAGGCUAAAACUCAAAGGAAUUGACGGGGGCCCGCACAAGCGGCGGAGCAUGCGGAUUAAUUCGAUGCAACGCGAAGAACCUUACCAAGGCUUGACAUGAACCAGACCGGGCUGGAAACAGUUCUUCCCCUUUGGGGUUGGUUUACAGGUGGUGCAUGGUUGUCGUCAGCUCGUGUCGUGAGAUGUUGGGUUAAGUCCCGCAACGAGCGCAACCCUCGUUCCAUGUUGCCAGCGGGUAGUGCCGGGGACUCAUGGGAGACUGCCGGGGUCAACUCGGAGGAAGGUGGGGACGACGUCAAAUCAUCAUGCCCCUUAUGUCUUGGGCUUCACGCAUGCUACAAUGGCCGGUACAAAGGGUUGCGAUACUGUGAGGUGGAGCUAAUCCCAAAAAGCCGGUCUCAGUUCGGAUUGGGGUCUGCAACUCGACCCCAU
rnacentral:rRNA from 1 species